UGGGCAGUGCUGCUUCCUGNGAGUGGCGGNGGGUGAGUAUGUCUGGGGAUCUGCCCGAUGGAGGGGGAUAACCACUGGACACGGUGGCUAAUACCGCAUAACUGUCNCAAGACCAANGUGGGGGACCUUCGGGCCUCNCACCAUCGGAUGAACCCAGAUGGGAUUAGCUAGUAGGUGGGGUAACGGCUCACCUAGGCGACGAUCCCUAGCUGGUCUGAGAGGAUGACCAGCCACACUGGAACUGAGACACGGUCCAGACUCCUACGGNAGGCAGCAGUGGGGAAUAUUGCACANUGGGCGCAAGCCUGAUGCANCCAUGCCGCGUGUAUGAAGAAGGCCUUCNGGUUGUAAAGUACUUUCANCGNGGAGGAAGGGAUGNAGUUUANUACGCUCCGUCAUUGACGUUACCCGCAGAANAAGCACCGGCUAACU
rnacentral:rRNA from 1 species